GAGAGAGCGAUUGACAUUAACGACAAUCUAAAUGAACAUAUUCGAAUCCAAGAUAACCGUAAAUUGGCUGAAGUCUGUAAUCCUAGAACGAAAACUUAUUUAAAUCGAGAACUCAGGUUGGCCUCUUGUGCGUUUAGUUGCAUUCAAAAUGCUACCUUACA